rnacentral:misc_RNA from 1 species
GAUAUGAGGUAAUAUGAGGUAUAUUGCCUGAGGGCAGGCAGAGAUGGGAUGGCGCACGUUGGGCGCGUUGAGUGCCGUCGAGUGCGGAUCCUGAAAUGGAGAGAGUUUCCAAAAAGGAAAGGGCACUUUUGCCAUGUGUCAGAGGCUGAAUGGUCUUGUGAUGGCAAAAGAGUCCAGUGGUAGGCAACAUAACAUGUACAUGUAACAUGUAACCAACCACCUAACCACUAACCACCAACACUAAAUCACAC